CUCUUGAAGUCUCUUUCCUCAUUUGUCUUCCACACUGAGGAGCCCAGCAGCUCAAUCUUUACUCUGAACCUUUAGAACCUCUUAAUGUUCUGACUCGGUUCUGAACACUUACUUUGGGUGUUGGUGAAACCCUUCCUUCAACGGAUCUCACUUUCCUUGCUUUUUUGCUUUCAUAUCUUCAAUACUACAUGGGGCAGCAGACGUUUUGCCCACGGAGAAACUAAGGUCUCCAGUCUACUAUGGAUGAGGAGAGAGAGGAGGGGGUCCUACCUCUAAGACCACUCUGUCUGGGGAACAUGGCUACUGGAGCAAAGCUAAGAG
ensembl:lncRNA